rnacentral:rRNA from 1 species
GACGUAGGGGGCGAGCGUUGUCCGGAUUCAUUGGGCGUAAAGCGCGCGCAGGCGGCCCGGUAAGUCGGAUGUGAAAUCCCACGGCUCAACCGUGGAACUGCAUUCGAUACUGUCGGGCUAGAGGCAGGUAGGGGAGAUCGGAAUUCCUGGUGUAGCGGUGAAAUGCGCAGAUAUCAGGAGGAACACCGGUGGCGAAGGCGGAUCUCUGGGCCUGUCCUGACGCUCAGGCGCGAAAGCUAGGGGAG